rnacentral:rRNA from 1 species
GACGAACGCUGGCGGCGUGCUGAACACAUGCAAGUCGAACGGAAAGGCCCUGCUUUUGUGGGGUGCUCGAGUGGCGAACGGGUGAGUAACACGUGAGUAACCUGACCUUGACUUUGGGAUAACUUCAGGAAACUGGGGCUAAUACCGGAUAGGAGCUCCUGCUGCAUGGUGGGGGUUGGAAAGUUUCGGCGGUUGGGGAUGGACUCGCGGCUUAUCAGCGUGUUGGUGGGGUAGUGGCUUACCAAGGCUUUGACGGGUAGCCGGCCUGAGAGGGUGACCGGCCACAUUGGGACUGAGAUACGGCCCAGACUCCUACGGGAGGCAGCAGUGGGGAAUAUUGCACAAUGGGCGGAAACCUGAUGCAGCAACGCCGCGUGCGGGAUGACGGCCUUCGGGUUGUAAACCGCUUUCGCCUGUGACGAAGCGUGAGUGACGGUAAUGGGUAAAGAAGCACCGGCUAACUACGUG